CUUGUGGGGAUUUGCAGGACAUAUUUUAAACAUCAAGCAGAGGAAGAAUAUUUUGAGUUUUCCGUCUGCAUCCUGGGAGAACAAUCCACGCAGUAAAAUGCGACCCCGACGUGACACCACGGAGGAGCUUCUUAACUACCUCGCCAACUUCAGUCCCAGAAAUUGGAGAGCCCACUGCAGAGUCCCUAGGCACUGAUUCCUCAAUCGAAGAUGUGUAGGUUAAAUUGAGGAGGUCUUCGAAGUAUUUCUUCCACCGAUCCACAACAUCCCCAGUCAACGUCAGCAGCACACCUUCCCCACUACACACGGUGUUGACAGUGGACUGCGUCCCCCUCCUGAGGCAGCGGAUGGUGGUCCAAAAUCGCUUCAAAGCUGUCCGGAAGUCGUUCUCCGUGGCUUCUCCAAACUCCUCCUAUGUCCGAGUUUUUGCCUCUGCAACCGUCCAAGCCGUACACCGCUUGGCCUGUUGGUAACUGUCCGCUGCCUUCAGAGUCCCAUGAGCCAAAAGGACCCGAUAGGACUCCUUCUUCAGCUUGACGGCAUCCAGCGGGACAUUAUACGUAUAUGUCGUGGCUUACUGUGGUGGAUCCCAAAAAACCCAGAGGACAAGAGCGUGUGGUCUUCAUUAUCCAGUCUAUGACCAGGAGCAACAGAAAGGUUGAUACAAGGAAUCGCUGAUACACACCAGUCUUGACUUCAAAACUCUCCGACAGCUGGCCAGCAUGUAAAACUGCUUUCUUGGUUGUUUUUUUUUAAAUCAGGGUGAUGAUCUUCUCUCAGCAGUUUCCACAGAUUCGCUCUAUCCACAGAGCCAAAGGCUUUUUCAUAAUCAAUGAAGUUCCUAAGUAAAGGAGGGUUCUAUUGUUCUACAUUGAUGUGCAGGGUGGCAACCUGGGCCGUACAAGAUACCUUACUUUCAAUCAAUGAAUCAAUCAAAGUUUACUUAUAUAGCCCUAAAUCCCGAGUGUCUCAAAGGGCUGCACAAGCCACAAAGACAUCCUCGGCUCAGAUCCCACAUCAGGGCAAGAAAAAAAAAACUCAACCCGAUGGGAUGACAAUGAGAAACCUUGGAGAGGACCGCAGAUGUGUGCAAUGGACGUCGAGGGGAUCUAGCAUAAUAUUGUGAGAGUCCAGUCCAUAGUGGAUCUAACAUAAUACUGUGAGUCCAGUCCAUAGUGGGGCCAGCAGGAGAGUAAAGCUGCCUGCUGGUCUCAAAGUAUGGGAUCAACUGAUUCACUUUUCCUGUUCUGUAUGGUUCUGUUGAGAACUUUUCCUGGUAUUGAUAUAAACAGGAUUCCUCUGUAGUUGUUGCAGUUAGUGAAAUAUUUUAUUGUAUCAGAAUAGUUCAUGUUCUAGCUAUUGUCGAGUAUGCACCUUUAAAUGAUGGUGUCUGUUGUCCAGUUAGUGCUUUGAUCAGUUCAGGGGCUCAGGGGCAGCAUUGAGGAAAAUGUAUUCCCGUGUGGGCCGGACGAGUAAAAUCGUGGCAUAAUAACUUAAAAAUAUAACUGCGACAGCUUCCGAUUGUUUUCUUUGUUUUACUUCAGCCCAAUAUAGAA